rnacentral:lncRNA from 1 species
GACCAUCUCCAAUGUAUUUUACUAUUUUCACCUCUAAAAUAGGGGAACUCUAUAAUAGAGAUGAGAUAUGCUCCAAUGUAUUCCCCUAAAAUAGCAAUCUCUAAAAUAUAGAGUAAAAAAUAGAGGAAUGCUAUUUCUUCCUCUAUAAAUAGAGGAAAAAAUAGAGAUCUCUAUUAUAGAGGAAGAAAUAGAGGUGGGUUGGAG